GGUCCCGAUAGUGCAGUGGUAGCACGUGCACUCGGUAUGAGUGAAACGCGGGUUCGACUCCCGACCGAGCCC